rnacentral:ncRNA from 1 species
GAAUUGCCGAUGAGGGAGAAGAGUAGUAGAGAUCGUCAGUCCCAGAGAAGAAAUGCCAAAGGCUGGAAGCAUUUCUGAUUGUCCUCUAUGAAUGAACACUCCUUAGGCUUUCUUCUGAACCGUUUUUUUCAGUAGGGAGAAACGUUGCCGGGCGUUAACCGGUAAAGAGGGGGAAUUCAGAAUUCCCCAAUAAGGGUGGUACCACGGGAAGUUAACUCUCGUCCCUGUU